rnacentral:rRNA from 1 species
CCUACGGGUGGCAGCAGUGGGGAAUAUUGGGCAAUGGGCGCAAGCCUGACCCAGCAACGCCGCGUGAGGGAGGAAGGCUUUCGGGUUGUAAACUUCUUUUCUCCGGGGCGAAGCAAGCGGCGGUACCUGGGGAAUAAGCCACGGCUAACUACGUGCCAGCCUCCGGCGUAAUUCGUAGGGGGCAAGCGUUAUCCGGUUUUACUGGGUGUAAAGGGCGUUGAGGCGGGAAAGCAAGUCAGAUGUGAAAACCAUGGGCUUAACCUGUGGCCUGCAGUUGACACUGUUGUUCUUGAGUGCGGGAGAGGUAGACGGAAUGCGUAGUGUAGCGGUGAAAUGCGUAGAUAUUAGGAGGAACACCAGUGGCGAAGGCGGGCUGCUGGACAGCAACUGACGCUGAGGCGCGAAAGCGUGGGGAGCAAACAGGAUUAGAUACCCGGGUAGUC